rnacentral:tRNA from 3 species
GUUAGCUCAGUUGGUAGAGCGCUCGGCUGUUAACCGAUAGGUCGUUGGUUCGAGUCCAAC